CCUACGGGAGGCAGCAGUGGGGAAUCUUGCGCAAUGGGCGAAAGCCUGACGCAGCCAUGCCGCGUGAAUGAUGAAGGUCUUAGGAUUGUAAAAUUCUUUCACCGGGGACGAUAACGACGGUACCCGGAGAAGAAGCCCCGGCUAACUUCGUGCCAGCAGCCGCGGUAAUACGAAGGGGGCUAGCGUUGCUCGGAAUUACUGGGCGUAAAGGGAGCGUAGGCGGAUAGUUUAGUCAGAGGUGAAAGCCCAGGGCUCAACCUUGGAAUUGCCUUUGAUACUGGCUAUCUUGAGUGUGGGAGAGGUAUGUGGAACUCCGAGUGUAGAGGUGAAAUUCGUAGAUAUUCGGAAGAACACCAGUGGCGAAGGCGACAUACUGGCCCAUUACUGACGCUGAGGCUCGAAAGCGUGGGGAGCAAACAGGAUUAGAUACCCUGGUAGUCCACGCUGUAAACGAUGAGUGCUAGUUGUCGGCAUGCAUGCAUGUCGGUGACGCACUAACGACAUAAGACACUCCGCCGUCGGGAGGUACGGUCGCGAGAAUAAACUACAAUAGAAGUUAGUACGGCGUGAGACGUCGCCGACGGACGACGACGAGGGAGGAGG
rnacentral:rRNA from 1 species